rnacentral:rRNA from 1 species
GAUGAACGCUGGCGGCGUGCCUAAUACAUGCAAGUCGAACGAACAGAUGAGGCGCUUGCUCCUCUGACGUUAGGGGCGGACGGGUGAGUAACACGUGUAUAACCUCCCUAUAAGACUGGUAUAACUUCGGAAAACCGGAGCUAAUACCGGAUAAUCUCUUGAACCACAUGGUUCAAUAGUGAAAUACGGUUUUGCUGUCACUUCUCGCUGGAUCCGCGCCGCAUUGGCUAGUUGGUAAGGUAAAGGCUUACCAAGGCAACGAUGCGUAGCCGAGCUGAGAGGGUGAUCGGCCACCCUGGAACUGAGACACGGCCCAGACUCCUACGGGAGCCAGCAGUAGGGAAUCUUCCGCAAUGGGCGAAAGCCUGACGGAGCAACGCCGCGUGAGUGAUGAAGGUCUUCGGAUCGUAAAACUCUGUUAUUAGGUAAGAACAAAUGUGUAAGUAACUAGGCACGUCUUGACGGUACCUAAUCAGAGAGCCACGGCUAACUACCUG